rnacentral:rRNA from 1 species
UGGGGAAUUUUGGACAAUGGGCGAAAGCCUGAUCCAGCCAUGCCGCGUGAGUGAAGAAGGCCUUCGGGUUGUAAAGCUCUUUUAGUCGGAAAGAAAGAGUUGCAAUGAAUAAUUGUGAUUUAUGACGGUACCGACGGAAAAAGCACCGGCUAACUACGUGCCAGCAGCCGCGGUAAUACGUAGGGUGCGAGCGUUAAUCGGAAUUACUGGGCGUAAAGGGUGCGCAGGCGGUCUUGCAAGUCAGAUGUGAAAGCCCCGGGCUUAACCUGGGAAUUGCGUUUGAAACUACAAGACUAGAGUGCAGCAGAGGGGAGUGGAAUUCCAUGUGUAGCAGUGAAAUGCGUAGAGAUGUGGAAGAACACCGAUGGCGAAGGCAGCUCCCUGGGUUGACACUGACGCUCAUGCACGAAAGCGUGGGGAGCAAACA